CCCUUAGAUGUUCUGGGCUGCACGCGUGCUACACUGAUUACUUCAACAAGUGUUUUAACUGGAGAGUUUGCGUAAUCCUGAAAUGUUAUCGUGAUGGGAGUAGAGUAUUGUAUUUGUUAAUCUUUAACGAGGAAUUCCUAGUAAGUGUAGGUUUAUAAGUUGUUCUGAUUACGUCCCUGCCCUUUGUACACACCGCCCGUCGCUCCUACCGAUUGAUUGAUCCGGUGAAUUACACAGAAUUUUGCGUUUUACAUGACGGAAGAUGAAGUGUUUUAAACCUUAUCAUUUAGAGGAAGGAGAAGUCGUAACA
rnacentral:rRNA from 1 species